rnacentral:lncRNA from 1 species
UGAAUAUGUCGCCUUUUGAAGCUUGUGAGAGAUAUCAUUGCGGUGCUUCCACAUAAGCUAGCAGUAAAGAGGAUGAUCACUGGAGCAUAGGUUGGGUGAUUGUCCCAAGGAAUGACGAACAUGUGUAGCUUGCACAUAGGUGCAUCGCUAAGGAAAUUGUUGCCGACUUGGGUGAUCAGUCAUAUCUUUGAUCCAGUAAACCCGUAGAAGAACAUGUGCCAGUUGAGCACAUGCACAUGGGCCUGCAAAUACGAGGGGAGCAUUUUUUAUUAAAGUCCAAUACUAAUUGGAGUUUUGUGGCAAUCAUAUACAUUAGUAAUAUACUAGUGAGAAAGAACUCUACAUGCAUUUUUGCAUCUAAUAUACACACGAUGAAAAUUUUCUGACGGCACUCUCAAUGCAUUGGCAUUAGCUCUUAACAUGUCAAGGUAAGUGGCCAAAGCCUUUGUCGUCAUGUUCUCUCUCUUGCCGCCUAUGGGCCGCAAAUGGCAAACUGCCUGAUUCCUGUAGUGCCUUCUAGUCACUCAGAUGGAUCAACGCAAGUUUGGACCCACUAUCAUUUGAACUCUCUUUGAAAACUAUCUGUCAAUCUUGGUCAGAGACGACAAAUAGAUCAGAAAGGAUACAUGAAUAAUGAAUUACGAGGCAAUUGUUUUUCAAAAGAUUCAAUAUAAUAUAAUGAUAAAUUUUAUCAUAAAGUGAAAAUUCAUCAUAUCCGACAAACACAACCACCAGUUACAUCAUAUUGAUCCCGAUCAUGUGAGACAGCUCACGGGAACUUCACAUUGAAUCACAAGGGAGAAAGGAUGCCAUCUUUUCUACUUCGAUGGACACAAAGGUCCUAAGGAAACUAGUCAUGCAUGUUCAAGGUGGCUGCAAUGUCCAUGAAGAAGGCUUCCGUGAUGGAUUCCCCAGAACAUGAACUUGCAAUGGCAAAAAAGAUCGAGAAAAAAUGGUACCAACGGCUUCUCGAAAUAUGAGAUUUAUAGGCCAAAUAAACGACAAAAGACGUUGUCCAGGGGCCCCACAUCGUUUAACCAUGUGGGGUUGGACCCUGGCCGCAUGGGGCCAUGGGGUGCUUCCCUGCCACCUCCCGACACUUUCUAGAAUCCUCUGGACUUGGAAAAAAACACUGGAAAAUCUCCAGGGUUUUUGGAGUUCCGU